GCGAGGCCUUAACCAGGCCCUGAGGACACAGCAACCUGGGAGCUGGGAUGGCGGGCAGGCACCAGGCCCUGUAGGGGAGCAGCCCUGGGUGCAGGAGCCGCCACAGUCAGCCUGGCGCAGAGACGCGUCUGGGCGGGAUAUCUGGGGGAUGCAGGAAGGUGGGCUCUGGGUCGGAGCCACGUUCCAGUCUCUCCGGGAGCCUCCCUGGGACUCAAAAGCUACUGCCACCCUCUGCACUGGCUGACCAUUAGGAAAUUAAAUCAGCUGGCAGAGUGCUGGGCCCUCAGCCAGUGCCCAGUGAGGGCUCCAAUUCUGCUCUCAGCCCCAGAUCCUCUGGAAAACCCGCCUGCCUGAGCCUGGCCUCACCCCCACCCCCAACCCCAUCCCCACCCCCACGGCUUCUCUGAAGCCUCUGAGCCUCCUGCCCUGCCCGCAGCCCAGUUUCAGGCUGGCUCUCUUUCAUCUCUGGCCUUACCCUGGCUGUCUCCCUACCACACGGCCAAAUUCCUCUGGAGCAGCCAUCCUGUGGACCAAGCCCACACCCACCGCACCUUCCAAGUGGCCAGCCCAGCCUCCACCCACUUGCGGUCCAUAAGCUGCCUCCCCCAACCCCUCCUCCAGGUCAGCGGUGGCAAGGCUCCAGCUGCAGCCCCAGGGGCGGGGCAGGUGUGCCCAGUGUCACUCACAGCAAAAGCCCCAGCAGGGGCCCAGCAACGCGAACAAGGUGAACCCAGUCAAAGGACAGCCAGCCGGAGCUGGGAGGAGCAGGCUAAGAGUGGGAUUCAGGUGGGCCCUGAGGGGGGCUCCAGCAGCCUCCUGCCUGGAGCCAGACAAGGGCCACAGAGGUUUCUGGGAGUGACACUGCAUUUGCUUCCACUCCAGACACUGUGCCAAGGCUCCGGGUGCCAUGCUUGGUGCUGCCAGCCAUGGCCAGGGCACCUGAGGCCUCACCAGGCCAGAGGAAUCUGCCCACAGCCAAGCCAGUCCCAGUGCUUCACAAGCACAGGCGCUGCUGUCGCUGUGACCGCUGCUACUGUUAUCACUGCGGUUGCUACUACUCCGCUGCCUCAGGGCCACCAGCGUUACCUUGUCCCGUUUGGGCAGCCUUGAGAGGAGGGACCAGAAACCCAACAGGGCAGCCCUCUGGCCUAGGGAGAGCAAGGUGGAGUUUGACGCUCAAGCUCCUGACAAGCUGCGUGGCUCUGCGCAAGAUCUUACCCCUCCCUGGGCACCUUUUCCUCCCAGUACAGCACAGUUCACUGAACAUCCUUCCACCAGGCACAUAUCUCAGGGGGUCCCCUCCUGAGCAACCUGAAGCCCAGGGGUCUGACAUGGCAGUCGGGCAUGGGAGGAGGUCCAGGGAGAGACCAACAAAGUCAGGAUCUGCCCCUUUCACCAAGGGAAGGUCCAUCCCACUCAGGGCUAGGGAGGGGGCUCUGCUCUACCCUCACCUGGACAGGGGCACAAGGUAA
rnacentral:lncRNA from 1 species